rnacentral:rRNA from 1 species
UACGUAGGCAGCGAGCGUUGUUCGGAGUUACUGGGCGUAAAGGGUGUGUAGGCGGCCUCUUAAGUUUGGUGUGAAAUCCCCAGGCUCAACCUGGGAACUGCGUCCGAUACUGGCAGGCUUGAAUCCGGGAGAGGGAUGUGGAAUUCCAGGUGUAGCGGUGAAAUGCGUAGAUAUCUGGAGGAACACCUAUUGCGAAGGCAGCUCGCUGGGACGUUACUGACGCUGAGACGCGGAAGCGUGGGGAGCAAACAGG